rnacentral:ribozyme from 1 species
GUUUUUUUUCCUUCUUUUUCUUCUUCUUCUUUGUUUGUUUUUUUGCUUCUUCUCAUCAGUGCUUGUUUUUAUUAUAGACAGACAUUGGAGGUUUUUAGAUUGAUGAAACAAUAAUAAAAAAAGUAUUUUUAUUUUUUUC